rnacentral:tRNA from 1 species
GGCACCAUGGCCUAAUGGUAAGGCGUUGCUUUCCGGUCUCUCUUCACGGAAAAAUCGAUGGCAAAGAUUGUGGGUUCGAGUCCCACUGGUGUCG